rnacentral:rRNA from 1 species
UAGGGAAUAUUGCACAAUGGGCGAAAGCCUGAUGCAGCAACGCCGCGUGCACGAUGAAGGCCUUCGGGUCGUAAAGUGCUUUUCGGGGAGAUGAGCGAGGACAGUAUCCCCGGAAUAAGGAUCGGCUAACUACGUGCCAGCAGCCGCGGUAAAAACGUGGAUCCGAGCGUUAUCCGAAUUUACUGGGCGUAAAGCGCGUGCAGGCGGUUCGGUAAGUUGGAUGUGAAAUCUCCUGGCUCAACUGGGAGAGGUCGUUCAAUACUGUCGGACUAGAGGGUAGGAGAGGGAGGUAGAAUUCCCGGUGUAGUGGUGAAAUGCGUAGAUAUCGGGAGGAAUACCUGUGGCGAAAGCGGCCUCCUGGCCUAUCCUGACGCUCAGACGCGAAAGCUAGGGGAGCAAACGGGAUUAGAAACCCCGGUAGUCCUAGCUGUAAACGAUGUGAACUUGGCGUUGGUGGGUAAAAGCCAUCAGUGCCGAAGCUAACGCGAUAAGUUCACCGCCU